GAUGUUGGGGUGUACGUGCCGUGGGAGGUUUUGUUGAGAUGUUGGGGUGUGUGUGCUGUGUGAGGUUUUGUUGAGAUGUUGGGGUGUGCGUGCCGUGUGAGGUUUUGUUGAGAUGUUGGGUGUGUGCUGUGUGAGGUUUUGUUGAGAUGUUGGGGUGUGCCUGCUGUGUGAGGGCCGGCCUUGUUUCUGUUUACUGAUGCCUCCUGGGCCUCACACAGGGAAGGGUG
rnacentral:lncRNA from 1 species